AUUGAACGCUGGCGGCAGGCCUAACACAUGCAAGUCGAGCGAGCGGCGGACGGGUGAGUAAUAUAUGGGGGCCUCCCGUUAGGGGGGGAUAACACUUGGAAACGCUAGCUAAUACCGCAUCCUACCGCAUGAACCCAUAUGUGAUUAGCUCGUAGGUGAGGUAAUGGCUCACAAAGGCGACGAUCCCUAGCUGGUCUGAGAGGAUGAUCAGCCACACUGGAACUGAGACACGGCCCAGACUCCUACGGGAGGCAGCAGUGGGGAAUAUUGCACAAUGGGCGCAAGCCUGAUGCAGCCAUGCCGCGUGUAUGAAGAAGGUUUUCGGAUCGUAAAGCUCUGUUGGUAGAGAAGCGGUAUCUAACCAGAAAGCCACGGCUAACUCCGUGCCAGCAGCCGCGGUAAUAC
rnacentral:rRNA from 1 species